UCUCCUCUGGACUCGAGCUUUUCCAUGGCUCCCAGAGCUAGAAUGCCCUCCUGGUUCAGGCCCUGGGCAUAUACAAUGCAAACUGGGCCCUUUUGGGGUCAUGUGGUUCAUUUAAUUCCCUUCUGAGUCCUGUGCAUCUCAUCUUCCCUUAAAGCAGCAGGAGUCUCCAGCUCCCUACUACAUGGAGAUAAAUGUUUAAUGUACAGUUUCUUACUAUAAAAGUUAAGAGUAGUCACUAUAUACGAAUUACAUGAUUAUGCAGAGUAAAAUAAUCAAAGAUUUUUCAUGCACACUGCUUGUGCUCAUCUACAAAAUAAAAAAUAGUUCUGCAAAACACUAGUUGGGCACUGGGUGCUUUUACACAUGCAGUGAAGCUGCUCUAACGCACUGUAAUUACAGCAGGUUGGAUGAGGAAACACCUUGAGGGGAGGGAGCUCCAAGAAAUUCUCCCCUCAAGAAACCGUGGGUACUGGGCUGUUUUUGCUUGUUGAUGUAGCCCUGUGAAGUGCCUGGGGAAGGGGAUGAGGAAUGGUAUAUGUGGAUCAGGGCUCCAGUGAAUCCCUUGUGCAAAACCAGAUUUAUUUGCAUGCUGACCAGGGGCACCUUGUAAGCACCUCUGAGGACCAGCAAAUGGGAACCAGCUCAAAUAGUAUAGGGUAUAAUGUUAGGAGAAUCAAACUAAAGUUGUGGUCCUCUGGUGUUUCAGUCCAACUAAAUUGUUUUCUUCAAUCAGUGUUUCUCAUACAAAUGACUCAAUUUACACUGGAAAACAGUAGGAUUUUGUCAAGCAGAGCUAAAUAUUUUAUAAGGAAGGGUAUUAGAUGGAAAGAAAUUAGGCUAACAAAAUCCUAUUGAAAGUAAUUAGGAGGGAUACCUUUUUUACAGAUUUUUAAAUGACCCAAGAUGAGAUAUCAAAGCUAUUGCUCUCAUUUAUAUGCAUCGCUUUUAGCCUGAUUUGUUUUAUGCACUUAAUUAUUUUAAAACUUCUGGUUUUAUCCCUACUACAUUGUCUAAGACAGAAUGAGUG